CCUACGGGGGGCUGCAGUGGGGAAUAUUGGACAAUGGGGGGAACCCUGAUCCAGCCAUGCCGCGUGUGUGAAGAAGGCCCUCGGGUUGUAAAGCACUUUCAGUGAGGAAGAACGCCUGGUGGUUAAUACCCAUCAGGAAAGACAUCACUCACAGAAGAAGCACCGGCUAACUCCGUGCCAGCAGCCGCGGUAAUACGGAGGGUGCGAGCGUUAAUCGGAAUUACUGGGCGUAAAGCGCGCGUAGGUGGCUUGAUAAGCCGGUUGUGAAAGCCCCGGGCUCAACCUGGGAACGGCAUCCGGAACUGUCAAGCUAGAGUGCAGGAGAGGAAGGUAGAAUUCCCGGUGUAGCGGUGAAAUGCGUAGAGAUCGGGAGGAAUACCAGUGGCGAAGGCGGCCUUCUGGACUGACACUGACACUGAGGCGCGAAAGCGUGGGUAGCAAACAGGAUUAGAUACCCUUGUAGUC
rnacentral:rRNA from 1 species